rnacentral:rRNA from 1 species
CUGGCGGCGUGCCGUAAUACAUGCAAGUCGAACGGUCUUUCUAUGGAAGCUUGCUUCCACUGAGAAGAUAGUGGCGAACGGGUGAGUAACACGUGGGUAACCUGCCCAUAAGAGGGGGAUAACAUCCGGAAACGGGUGCUAAUACCGCAUAGUUUUCUUGAUCGCAUGAUUGAGAAAGGAAAGACGGCCUUUGUGCUGUCGCUUAUGGAUGGACCCGCGGCGUAUUAGUUAGUUGGUGAGGUAACGGCUCACCAAGACGAUGAUACGUAGCCGACCUGAGAGGGUGAUCGGCCACAUUGGGACUGAGACACGGCCCAAACUCCUACGGGAGGCAGCAGUAGGGAAUCUUCCGCAAUGGACGAAAGUCUGACGGAGCAACGCCGCGUGAGUGAAGAAAAGGUUUUCGGAUCGUAAAACUCUGUUGUCAGAGAAGAACAAGUUGGAGAGUAACUGCUCCAGCCUUGACGGUAUCUGACCAGAAAGCCACGGCUAACUACGUGCCAGCAGCCGC